CUGGCCUGGUUCUUCAGUCUCUCUCUGUACUCUGUAACAGGACCGGCCCAUAGACUGUAUCUAGAAUAGACGCCAUCUGUCUCCUCUCUGUGAGAACAGCGCCCUCUGGUGACGGGCUGCAGUAUAGGUCCUAAACCCCGCCUCCUUAUGGAGCUGUGGACAAACUUUCUAAAUGAAUGACACAGAAUAUAAAUGUUUCUCCCCCCUGGUUGUGAUGUUGACAUGUAGUUACUGUCAGACUGGUUUGUGCUCAAGUCCUCUUUUUUCUGUACAGCUCCAUUUUUAAAAGUUAUUAGGGGGGUUCAUGUUUUCUAUGAUUGACACCUGAUACAGCCUAUGGGAGGACAGAGAUUGAGUAGAUCACCGG